rnacentral:rRNA from 1 species
UGAGGAAUAUUGGUCAAUGGAUGGAAAUCUGAACCAGCCAAGUAGCGUGCAGGAUGACGGCCCUAUGGGUUGUAAACUGCUUUUAUGUGAGAAUAAAGUUAGGUAUGUAUACUUAUUUGCAUGUAUCACAUGAAUAAGGACCGGCUAAUUCCGUGCCAGCAGCCGCGGUAAUACGGAAGGUCCAGGCGUUAUCCGGAUUUAUUGGGUUUAAAGGGUGCGUAGGCCGUUUGAUAAGCGUGCUGUGAAAUAUAGUGGCUCAACCUCUAUCGUGCAGCGCGAACUGUUGAACUUGAGUGCGUAGUAGGUAGGCGGAAUUCGUGGUGUAGCGGUGAAAUGCUUAGAUAUCACGAAGAACUCCGAUUGCGAAGGCAGCUUACCGUAACGUUACUGACGCUUAAGCACGAAGGUGCGGGUAUCGAACA